CCUCCAUGUCCUCAGGGACUGUGAUCUAAGGCUUGAAGAGGUUGAGAUCAGGUCUCCAGCCUGCUCCCUCCCCAGGGCCCAGGCUGCCCUUGGAGAGGCUGGGGAGGGGGCCCAUGGUACAACCUCAUGGCAUGAAAGGAGCCAGCACACCAGAGAUCAGAAGAGAGAUUGGAAAGAAGAGGUGGAGGAAGACAGGAAAGCCCCAGCGGGGUAUCUGCCACCUGCAAGACCAGUCAGACCAGUCUGUCUGACCUUUUGUCAAAGGAAAAAGAAACAAGAUGCAGUGGCACACCACAAAGAGAAGACAAGGCGACCUGCUGGGACAGAGCAGGUGCUCCAGGCUGGAGAGAGGCUCGAGCACCUGCAGCAGCCCAGGGGCUGUCAAGGGACUCCAAGACGUGGUAGCUGCAGUGCAAAAAGUCUGAGGACAGACCCUCCCUCCCCAUCUUUCAAGCUCUCAAAGGCUUUCCUGCAGGGUGGGCAGGCUGAAGAAGAAAUGCACUCCGUGCCUGGGAGCACCACAUGGGGCAAAUGGGAGUGGAGGCAUGAGAGGGAACAGCAGAAUGGGAUGCACGGGAACUACAGGAAAACAGAAAGUGGAAUUCAAAAGAUGCAAGAGGAGGGAGAGAGACUGACAAUGGCUCUCCUUGUAUGAAGGGCUUUGUGCUGGGAAGAGGCUUUGGAGAAAAAUACUGUCCUGCUGUUACCAAGUGGGAAGCUGCCCUUGGAGGCAGGAGGAUCCCUCUGUGGCUGGUGGAACAUCAAUGCCUUGAGACAGCCUGGGAGGCAGCAAGGAUGAAACUUUUUGAAAAUCACUGCCAUAAUCAGGAGUCUGUUGGUCAGUGUGGUUUGUGCCAGCCUGCACCCCUGCGGCAGUUGUACCUCCAGGGAGGUGAUGAAGAGCAGAGCAGUCUCAGGGUCCCAUCUCUCAGCUCGGCCACCAACUCCAACCCCAAGAAGCAUCCAUAGCCACAUCUCAACAGCUGAGAGACUGCCAAAGGUCUAGCAGCUGCAGGAGGGUCUCCAGCUUCUUCUGUGCAGCACGACCCUCGUGGUCGUCGCUGACUAUCAGGAUGACGUGGUUCCAGUUGAAGACUCUCAUCAUCUCAAACCAGACGUUGGCCUGGUGAGAGUAGGGUGGGACCGUGCGCAAAAAGGACAGGUGGAUGCUCUGCAAGGGAGAACAAGAGCUCAACACAGACUGUGGGGCUGUCAGCCACGUUUGCAGGGACAGGGACAGGGAUCCAUUCUGGGAUGCACACCUUGAGCUAACCUCUGGGACCUGCAUCCUUCCUUCUAGCUGGGAAGCAAACCCUGGAUGUGACUUUGCAGCUCUCUGUGGUUAAACCAGGGUAUGGCAAAGAGGGGUUUCUGCUUUGUGCUCCAUAAAUGCACAGAGAAGAAAAGCCUAUCGAGCCAUGAAUGACCAGCAGUGUUCAGUGCAAAUAUAGCCUUGCCUCUUGACCUUUUAAAUGAUUACCAGACAAUGGCAUCAAAAAGCAGAAUUCCCUUCAGAAGGCAAGAGGCAGGUACAGGCAGCUGCGUGCUCGUCAUGUGCCACGGCAGAAGUUCAGAAAGGCAGUUUUAUAACGUGGUCCCUGGCUGUUUCUAGGUCAGCCUGUUCUGCAGCAGCAGGCAGAGGAGGCAGCUCUGGACCCGUGCCCCAGCAAACCUUUCUGCUUGCAUCGGUAUGGUUGGGUGAUUGUGCAAUAGCAAUUCCAGCUUAAUUAAGUACACUGCUCUUAGGGGAGCAAUCAGACCAAAAGCUGGAGCUUUCAAACAAAUGCAGCUUGUCCAAAAAGCCCUAGACUCAAAUAUUAGGAAGUGAAAGUGCUCAUGCUCAGCAUGGACCCUGCUUGACAGCCCAGCUACAUGCUGGAGGGAGGCAGGAGCCAGAACUAGAGAGGACAAAAAUAAAGCACCAUAAUAUUUCUUUCUCUAAGGCUGAGAUGGUUGUCUGAACCAAACAGGUCUUGUCCAGACCUGCUCAUCCAGAGAGACCAGGCCCAGAAUGGGUCAGAAAUGUCCUGAAUGGGCCAAAGUAAUACACACUGGGAAGGAAAAGGUAUUCUGGCCCUCAUGGAUACACACAGGAGGAACAGACACACCAGAUAAAUCCUCUUCCUCACACUCCACACAGGGAUAACGUCAGACCAGACCAUGAAAUGUGUAGAAAAGGAUCCAAACUCCCUGCUGUGCUCAGGGCUCCCUGCACAGGCUCAGCAGGUCCCUGCCCCAGCCCAGCCCAGGGGAACAUGGGAGCAGCAGAGCCACCACAGCACUGGGAACAUUUCCUGAACCUAAGACACUGAGGAGGAGGGUGGAUGUUUAACCAGAGGAGGAAAUAAACCAGGAGAGCCCCAACAAGACUCUCAGAGUAUGACUGAUACAAACAUUGGAGUUACAGGAAGAGCAGCUCACCCCAUAAACCCAUGGGAUUGGGAAAAAGCCCCACAGGGACAAACAAUGGAAAGACAACCAUGGUGCCCACACUAACUCAGUGUGCAAGAGCUCUUUGCAGUCAGCAGAGAUGCCCAGGAAUUUCCAGGUCCAGCUGCACAGCCUGGGCCAGGGACACACCACCUGGGUCUAAGCAUUUUGAAUUUUAAACCCCUGAGCAUUUUUAAUUGGUUUAAGGAAAUCCAGGGAAAGUGAAACUGAAAAUGGGAAAAAAAUCAGAAGAGAGAAAAGAGCUGAAAAAAUAACAGAAAAGACAAUACUAAAAAAAAGAAAUUAGAGAAACACAGGUUAAAAUAUCUAUGAAAAUUCUUUCAAUCCCCUUUUCAAAUGAAAAAAUCUUAGAAAUGUCCAUAUUUUGCAUCAAAUUACUUUCUAGCUUCCCAACCAGCUUGCAAAAAUGAUGUUUAACCAAUCAUGGCUUUCUUAAGAAUUGUAAAUACAUAUCAUUGGGUUCAGAGGAAAAAAAUACUGCAAGGUUGUUGGGGGGCAACUUGGUUUAACAGUCCAGACAAAUUUGCUUUCUGAGGUGGUGUCAAUAGGCUCAUGGACAGACUCUGGUGGUAGCUCCGCACCUGGAUCCCUGAACUGUGGUUUUCAAAUAGGAUAAUGAAGAAAAAUUCAUGUCAAGUGCUGAGCUGAGAUCUCGGGAUGAGCACUCAUGGUCUGGCACAGCUUUUGAAGCACCUGGGACUCCUGAGCAAUCUUUGCAAGGGCCAAAGAUUGGCAGAAAAAUGACCAGAGUCCCCCAGAGGUUCACAUGGGCAGCUUGUGCUGUGCAGAGGCAGGUGAGGAUCCAGCUUGGUGUGAUUUGAUACCCCCUACCCCAGCACACACAGUGACAUCCCCCAGGUCCCUGUCACCUCCCCUGAAACUCAGCACAGAGCUCUGCUGGGCAUAGACACAUGGGCUGCACUGCAGAGGAUGGGGGCAGUGAUUUAUGCACCCUAAUUAGCCCAUUUUUUGGCAAAUACCUGUUAAAAAAGACCUGUGGCUUUUAGCAGAGCCCCUGUGAGACAGCCAGCCCAGCUGGUGGGCUCACUCAGCUGCACCAGCUGUGCUCCUGGUGCUGCUCCAGCCCUUGAACUUGGGGCUCUCAUCACUCCCUCCCCUCGGAUCAGGCGCACAGCAAAACCUGCUCCUCAGUGCAAACCCACACUGGCCUUGUGGGUGCUUUGUAGAAUACUCACCCCUUGCUCUGCUCUGAGUGUGCCUGCUGCCAGCCAGGGCCGGAGUGGGACCAUGGCAAUGGCUCACAGCAACCCCAAAAUUCCUUGCAGCCCACCCACACCUCAGAGCUCAGCCCUGUGCUCCCCCACUUCAUUCUAGCUCUGCAAAAGGGCAGCAAACACAGGCUGGGCUGAAAUCCAGUGCUCAAGCUCAUCAGGAACCCAGGGGCUGGAGCCAAAAAGCACCAGAGGGACCAGGGUUGGGAGGCUGGGGAUAUUUCCUGGCACGGUGGGCAGGCCCUGGCAUAGGGUGCCCAGAGCAGCUGUGGCUGCCCCUGGAUCCCUGGCAGUGCCCAAGGCCAGGCUGGACAGGGCUGGGAGCAGCCUGGGACACUGGGAGGUGUCCCUGCCAUGGCAGGGGUGGGGUGGGAUGGGCUUUGAGGUCACUUCUAACCCAAACCAGUCUGGGAUUGUGUGAUGAUUCUGUGUGGGGUCAGGACUUGAGAACUGCAAAUAUCUGAUUUGAGCCCAUACAGAGAGGAGCUGUUAGAGCAGAUGAUUGUGUGUGUGUGUGUGUGUGUGUGUGUGUGAGAGAGUGUGAGAGAGCACAGACUGAGCAUGCACAGCUGUGACCCUGCCCCUACAGGAAGCAUAGGAGUGCAUCCCCCCUGCAUGGGUGCUGGGUGCUGCACUCCUGUGCACAGCCUGCAGCAUGCUCUGAGCUGGGGGAGGGCACUGGGGGUGCCUUGGCAUGGGGGUUUUGCCCACAGGGGAAAGGGCAUGGCUGGGGGCCAGCAGGCAGUGCCUGGGUGUCCCAUCAGGGCCUUGCAGAGUGUCAUGAGCGAAGGGUUUGUGACCUUCUGCACUCCUGCCUGCCCAGGGGCUCACCCCAAGCUGGGGGCAGGGAUUUUUCCUGCAGGCUGAAGGGAGCAAUGUGCCUUUGCUUCAUUACCUGGCAGUGGGUUCAGCCCCCCUUCUAGCAAUGCAUCCCCCAGCUGAGCUGCCUAGGGAAUUCCAAAGAGCUUUCAGAGAUCCCAAUCUGUAGGGCUCCUGGAAAUCUGGUAAAAUUCACCACCUGGCCAUGAGAAAGAAGUGUUGGCCAGUGUUUCCAUGGAGGGAGCCUGCCCACUGCCCCACAUGACAGCUGUGGAGGUGGGAGGGAGCUGAGGUAGCUCUGAGACAGCUCAGACGAGUGCAGGGAGGGAUUUUGGGGCAGAGCUCAGACUAAAGUGCACUCUCUGCCUUCCCCUGCAGUGCACGGAGGAAGGAAAGGGCAGGGCCACUGUGGGGCUGUGGGGCUGCUCUGUCCUGCUCCCAGCUGGAAUCAGAGCCCGUGGGGAUCUGCUGCCCUGUGGGGGCUCCAUCAGGCCAUCUCUCCACUUCCCUGGCCUGCACAUUCCAGGCUGCCCUCCUGAGGUUUUCCUGCCCUCCUGAGGGUUCUCCUGCCCUGCUGAGGGUUCUCCUGCCCUCCUGAGGGUUCUCCUGCCCUGCUGAGGGUUCUCCUGCCCUGCUGACCUGUGCUCCCCACUCCCAGGACAAACAUCUCUGUGCUGCUCCAAGCAGCUUCUCCAGUCAUCACCUGUGGGUGCCAGUGAAGGAGUACUGACCCUGACCUUGAUCAACAAAAGCCACUUUUGUCCCCACCUGCACCUUCCCAGCCCUAACAGGGCUCCUGCUGAGCAUGGGCUGCCAGUGAGACAGUAGUAAAGCAGAAAACCUUUGCAGUGAACAAGCCCUGUGAGGGCCUGGAAUGGUUCCACUGGGAGCAGGAGCCAGAGGGAAAUCUAUCCCAGAGGGAAAUCCAUCCCCUGGUUGGAGAGAGAGACACACCUCACUCAACCACCAGGGCAAAGUGCUGGAACUGAAGAAGCUCUCCAAUUGCAGCAUGUCUAAACUCCAUUUUCCAACUCCUCCAGCAGCAGAGCAGGUCUCAUAAUUUAUUAAUUUAUUAAUUUAUUAAUUUAUUAAUUUAUCUCCCUGUUCCUCUGCUGCAAUAAUCUGCUGUGGGGUGGUGAGGGGCUCAGCAGCCAGGGUGUCCCUCCAGCCCCACAGGUGCCACGUGGUGGUCUUGAAGGGCACAGACCUUCCUGAGCUGUGCAUCCCCAGCUCUGCUCUCACACUCGGUGUCAGCUCACACUUUUUGUGGUGCCAGGAUGUCAGUGUCAGCUCGUUUGUUCCAGCUGAGAUGCAGAGCAGAGAGAAACACCCCCAGUGGCCUGUGGGGGAGAGAAGCACUGAGGGAAAGUCAGAGGGGGAUUUUUGCAAUGCUCAGCCCAUGAGAUCUCCCUGGAGGGCUCUCCAUAGCCACGGACACCACAGUGAUGGGAAUCACUCUCCUGCCUUUACCUUGAGAGUGCCUCUCUCCCCCAGCUCCCUGCUGACCUCCCUCAGAGGUGAUGGAUCCCAGAGACCCCUCCCCAGUGCUGGGUGAUGAGAGGGCCUUAGUCGAGGAGCAGCUCGUGAUUUCAUGAGAUGUCCAAGGAGGCCAAGCCAGAGUGCUCUGCCUGAUAACUGCAAUAUUAAUUCUAGAACAAAUGGUUAGAUACUGGGACAGUAAAACUCACUUCCCUUGGGUAUCUUUGCUGAAAGACUGGUACAGCUCAUGGACCACUGUACCUGACUGGAGAUGCUGUGAGAGCAUCAAAAGGUUCUGGGCAAACCUGUCCAUGCUGAGGCCCACACCUUUCCUCCCCCGGUAGCCUUGAGAGGACCAAAAUUAACCCAAAUUCAACCCCCUGUGAAAUUCAGCUAAAAUUGUCUGAUGCCUCCAAAACCAAUUAGGGGCGUACAUAAAAAGUGAUCCUACAAGCUUGUUUCCAUAGAAACUAAGCUGAAAGAUAUAAUUUCCUGAAUUAAAACAAAAAAGAAAGCAAGCUGAUCACUGGAAACCAAAAAGGGAACAGCUGAAUAUCCCUGCGUCACCAGGCAGCCUGUCCUGCAUGGGGUGUGCAGUACCUUCCACUGUCCUGUCCCACAGCUCCACACCCCUCUGUCCCUCACUCCACUCCCAUCUUUGCUGUACCCUCUACAGUCCAAACUUCCUUUGUUCCUCUACCCAGUCCCUGCCCGCAGCUCCAUCUCCUGCCCGCAGCUCCUGCUCUUCGCAGAGCUCCAAGCCUUGGUGGGCAGGAGGCUGAGCACGAUGCCAGCCAGGCAGGAGCACUCUGAGGGGUGUGGGGUGGGCAGCCUGGGCUCCCUGCCCAGCCUCUGCCAGGCAGGUGCACCCCUGAACCUGCUCAACACCCCAGAUAUUCCCUGGAGAGCAUCUCCCUGCCAGCACACUGGGUCACCACUCUGGGUGUCUCCCCCAGCCCUGAAGGGAGCCAGGUGGAGGUUAUGAGGCUGCUCUGCAGAAAACAGGUUUUAAAAAGGGCAAGAAUGGCAGGAGAGGACAGGGUCAGCCCUGGGUGUGAGCACUCCAGGGCAGCACAGGAGGGCAGGGCUGCUUUACUGGGCACAGCCCUGCAGAGAUGGAGCAGAGAGGAGGUGCAGGGUCCCCUCUUGCUGCCAUCGUGGGCCCUGUGGCAAGGACCCUCCCAGUGACAUCCCUGUCAGAUCUAUCUCCUCCCCAGAGCAGCAAAAAGCAAAUCCCCCCUGAACACUUCCUGCCUGCUCUGCCAGCUCUGCUGCCAUCCCUUUCCAUCUAACCACGUCUGGUGGGACCCCAGCAGGGUGUGCAGGUCCCCAACCCUGCCAGCCACCAUCACCAUCCUGGCUUGCUGACCACCCUGCCAUGGCUUCCCUUCUGGGAGAUGCCAAAAUCUGCUGCUGCUGCUCCAGCCAAGCAGUGCUGCUGGUGCCUUUCUGGAAGCUUCUGCUCCUCCUCCUGAAAUUUGACUUUAUUUACCAUGUAGGUGGAGUGACUAUUUUUGCACUGAACAUUUACAUUUGUGAAUAUUCACAUUUUCCAAGCAAAGGCUGAUUCGUGUUUCGAAGCAGGCUCGAUCUCACCCACUGAGCUCAUGUGCUGGAUGAAAUCCUGCAAUGGCAUUUGGAAGGCCUGGCUCUCCUCAGCUCCUCCUUUUGCCUUUCCUACGGCUUUAGGUGUUUGCCAAACGGGCUGUGAGCUGAGAGCCAGGGCAGCACCUCAUUGCCCAGGACCUCAUCCAGCCUGGAAGUCUCUGAGUUCCCACAGGGACAACUGAGACACUGGAAUCUGAGCCUCUGUCUUGAGUGCUGACCAGACUGAAUGCCAUGUGAAGCUUCAGGAUAUUCUGUUAUCUCCCCUACCAAUAUCCCACAAACCCAGAGCAGUGAAUGCAACCAAACAACCUCCCGGCCCCAGAGAGAUCCUGCCCAAUGUGCAGGCUCUGACAGGAUCCUCUGGCCCUCCCAGGCCCCCUGAGCCCCCAGGAGCCCCUGGCUGGCGCAGAGAGCAGGGCAGGAGCCAGCCUGUGCCUCUGCCCUGGCUGGAGAGCCGUGAGCCCGGCAGCCUGGCAGAGCAGAGCUGCAGAAAUCAUCCGGGACUAAGUAGGUCAGCACUGGCAGCUGCAAAAAAAUGAUGUACCCUGGAAUGCAGGGGAUAGAGAGAGAGAGAGAGAGAGAGGGAGCUGCAGGCUGGGCUGGAGAGGGUGGAUGGACAGACACAGAGAGUGCAGACAUCAUGAGCCCUCCUGCCGGGCACUGCCGAUUUUCAGCACAUGUAUGAGGUACCAGAGCAGAAGCAUGCAUCAGUUACCUUAUCAGAGUAUAUAGACAUGCGUGUUGUCAGACCAAUGACAGGGAUCCUGUAGAAGCCAGCUGUGUAUGAUACAGGUGUUGGUGUUAGGUGAUCGUUGGGAGCAGGAGGGUGACUAACUAAUAUUGCAUAGACCUGCAGGACAGGAUACACGACACAAACAUUAUUUCACGGGAGCGCAACGGCAGUCAAGAGUGAUUUUUUUUCCCCUUUUUUUUUCUGCAAUGCUAAACAGCCCCAUGUUAACAGGACAAUGGCAUUGCAAUGGCUCGGAAUGGGGAAGCAGGGGCUGUGCUGGGAGCCAGGGGUGCUGUGCCGCGGCUGGAGGAGAUGGCUCUGCUCAGGGUUCCGUCCUAAUGGAAUGCCGUGCCCAGGCGCUCCACUCGCUAAACUAAUAACUUCCAUGGAUUGCAGAUUAAAGGGAAGCAUCUCCCUUCCA